rnacentral:rRNA from 1 species
GAUGAACGCUGGCGGCGUGCCUAAUACAUGCAAGUCGAGCGAACAGACGAGGAGCUUGCUCCUCUGACGUUAGCGGCGGACGGGUGAGUAACACGUGGAUAACCUACCUAUAAGACUGGGAUAACUUCGGGAAACCGGAGCUAAUACCGGAUAAUAUAUUGAACCGCAUGGUUCAAUAGUGAAAGACGGUUUUGCUGUCACUUAUAGAUGGAUCCGCGCCGCAUUAGCUAGUUGGUAAGGUAACGGCUUACCAAGGCAACGAUGCGUAGCCGACCUGAGAGGGUGAUCGGCCACACUGGAACUGAGACACGGUCCAGAAUCCUACGGGAGGCAGCAGUAGGGAAUCUUCCGCAAUGGGCGAAAGCCUGACGGAGCAACGCCGCGUGAAUGAUGAAGGUCUUCGGAUCGUAAAACUCUGUUAUUAGGGAAGAACAAAUGUGUAAGUAACUAUGCACGUCUUGACGGUACCUAAUCCGAAAGCCACGGCUAACUACGUG